rnacentral:rRNA from 1 species
AUUGAACGCUGGCGGCAGGCUUAACACAUGCAAGUCGAGCGGGGUGAUGGUGCUUGCACUAUCACUUAGCGGCGGACGGGUGAGUAAUGCUUAGGAAUCUACCUAUUAGUGGGGGACAACAUCUCGAAAGGGAUGCUAAUACCGCAUACGUCCUACGGGAGAAAGCAGGGGAUCACUUGUGACCUUGCGCUAAUAGAUGAGCCUAAGUCGGAUUAGCUAGUUGGUGGGGUAAAGGCCUACCAAGGCGACGAUCUGUAGCGGGUCUGAGAGGAUGAUCAGCAACACUGGGACUGAGACACGGCCCAGACUCCUACGGGAGGCAGCAGUGGGGAAUAUUGGACAAUGGGGGGAACCCUGAUCCAGCCAUGCCGCGUGUGUGAAGAAGGCCUUAUGGUUGUAAAGCACUUUAAGCGAGGAGGAGGCUCUUUUGGUUAAUACCCAAGAUGAGUGGACGUUACUCGCAGAAUAAGCACCGGCUAACUCUGUGCCAGCCGCCGCCGUAA